ACGCUGGCGGCAGGCUUAACACAUGCAAGUCGAACGGUAACAGGAAUUAGCUUGCUAAUUUGCUGACGAGUGGCGGACGGGUGAGUAAUGCUUGGGAAUCUGGCUUAUGGAGGGGGAUAACUACGGGAAACUGUAGCUAAUACCGCGUAAAAUCUUCGGAUUAAAGGGUGGGACUUCCGAGCCACCUGCCAUAAGAUGAGCCCAAGUGGGAUUAGGUAGUUGGUUAGGUAAAGGCUGACCAAGCCGACGAUCUCUAGCUGGUCUGAGAGGAUGACCAGCCACACUGGAACUGAGACACGGUCCAGACUCCUACGGGAGGCAGCAGUGGGGAAUAUUGCACAAUGGGGGGAACCCUGAUGCAGCCAUGCCGCGUGAAUGAAGGAGGCCUUCGGGUUGUAAAGUUCCUUCGGUGACGAGGAAGGUUGAUAGGUUAAUAGCCUAUCAAAUUGACGUUAAUCACAGAAGAAGCACCGGCUAACUCCGUGCCAGCAGCCGCGGUAAUACGGGGGGUGCGAGCGUUAAUCGGAAUAACUGGGCGUAAAGGGCACGCAGGCGGUGACUUAAGUGAGAUGUGAAAGCCCCGAGCUUAACUUGGGAAUUGCAUUUCAUACUGGGUCGCUAGAGUACUUUAGGGAGGGGUAGAAUUCCACGUGUAGCGGUGAAAUGCGUAGAGAUGUGGAGGAAUACCGAAGGCGAAGGCAGCCCCUUGGGAAUGUACUGACGCUCAUGUGCGAAAGCGUGGGGAGCAAACAGGAUUAGAUACCCUGGUAGUCCACGCUGUAAACGAUGUCGAUUUGGGGAUUGGGCUUUGAGCUUGGUGCCCGUAGCUAACGUGAUAAAUCGACCGCCUGGGGAGUACGGCCGCAAGGUUAAAACUCAAAUGAAUUGACGGGGGCCCGCACAAGCGGUG
rnacentral:rRNA from 1 species